rnacentral:rRNA from 1 species
AGAUUGAACGCUGGCGGCAUGCCUAACACAUGCAAGUCGAACGCGAAAGUGGGGCAACCUGCGAGUAGAGUGGCGGACGGGUGAGUAACGCAUCGGAAUUUACCCUGUCGUGGGGGAUAACCAAGGGAAACUUUGGCUAAUACCGCAUGAUCUGGUGACAGCAAAGCGGGGGACCUGCAAGGGCCUCGCGCGAUGGGAUGAGCCGAUGUCUGAUUAGCUAGUUGGUAGGGUAAAGGCCUACCAAGGCGACGAUCAGUAGCUGGUCUGAGAGGAUGAUCAGCCACACUGGGACUGAGACACGGCCCAGACUCCUACGGGAGCAGCAGUGGGAAUAUUGGACAAGUGGGGGC